AUUGAACGCUGGCGGCAUGCCUAACACAUGCAAGUCGAACGGCAGCACAGUAUGUAGCAAUACAUAUGGGUGGCGAGUGGCGGACGGGUGCGUAAUAUGUAGGGAUCUGCCCUGAAGCGGGGGACAACCCGGGGAAACCCGGGCUAAUACCGCAUAAUACUCUACGGAGGAAAUCUGGCACGCAAGUGCUGGGGCUUUAGGAUGAACCUACAUCCGAUUAGCUAGUUGGUGAGGUAAUAGCUCACCAAGGCAAUGAUCGGUAGCUGGUCUGAGAGGAGGACCAGCCACAAUGGGAAUGGGACACGGCCCAGACUCCUACGGGAGGCAGCAGUGGGGAAUAUUGGACAAUGGGGGAAACCCUGAUCCAGCAAUGCCGCGUGGGUGAAGAAGGCCUUCGGGUUGUAAAGCCCUCUAGGCGGGGAAGAAGGUUAUAGGGUGAUAAGCCUUAUAGCUUGACGGUACCCGCAGAAUAAGCACCGGCUAACUCUGUGCCAGCCGCCGCCGUAA
rnacentral:rRNA from 1 species